rnacentral:rRNA from 1 species
UACGGGGGGGGCAAGCGUUGUUCGGAAUUACUGGGCGUAAAGGGCUCGUAGGCGGCCAACUAAGUCCGACGUGAAAUCCCCAGGCUUAACCUGGGAACUGCGUCGGAUACUGGAUGGCUUGAAUUCGGGAGAGGGAUGCAGAAUUCCAGGUGUAGCGGUGAAAUGCGUAGAUAUCUGGAGGAAUACCGGUGGCGAAGGCGGCAUCCUGGACCGACACUGACGCUGAGGAGCGAAAGCCAGGGGAGCAAACGGG